rnacentral:rRNA from 1 species
UACGUAGGGGGCUAGCGUUGUCCGGAAUCAUUGGGCGUAAAGCGCGUGUAGGCGGUUCGGUAAGUCCGCUGUGAAAGUCGAGGGCUCGAACCCUGGAAUGCCGGUGGAUACUGUCGGGCUAGAGUACGGAAGAGGCGAGUGGAAUUCCUGGUGUAGCGGUGAAAUGCGCAGAUAUCAGGAGGAACACCAAUUGCGAAGGCAGCUUACUACACAGUUAUUGACACUGAGGCACGAAAGCGUGGGGAUCAAACAGG